GACGAACGCUGGCGGCGUGCUUAACACAUGCAAGUCGAACGGGCCCGCCCCUGUUUUUGGGGGUGGGUUGAGUGGCGAACGGGUGAGUAUCCCGUGAGUAACCUGCCCCCUGCUCCUGGCUAACUGCUUGAAAGGGCGGCUAAUACGGGGUGUGCCGGCUGGUCCGCAUGGGCCUGGUCGGGAUAGUUUCAUCUUCGGGUGUUUCGGUGGGGGAUGGGCGCGCGGCCUAUCAGCUUGUUGGUGGGGUGAUGGCCCACCAAGGCGGUGACGGGUAGCCGGCCUGAGAGGGUGGGCGGCCGCACGGGGACGGAGACACGGCCCAGACUCCUGCGGGAGGCAGCAGGGGGGGGUCUGGCACAAUGGGCGGAAGCCUGAUGCAGCGACGUCGCGUGAGGGAUGGAGGCCUUCGGGUUGGGAACCUCUUUCUCCGGUGGGGAAGGCCCUGUCCGUUGCGGCGGGGUUGACGGUAGCCGGGGAUGAAGCGCCGGCUAACUACGUG
rnacentral:rRNA from 1 species